GCACCGGCCCUUUACCAAAAUGGCCGCCGGGCCGUGGCGCGCCCUCCCCCGCGGCCUCCCGCGCAACAGGGGGGGAGCCCCCAGAGGGGCGGUGAGUUAUAGGUUCUCAGAUACUGCCAUAGACGGAGAUAGAAAGAGUGUUUUUCACUUGAAGGAUACUGAGGCACUUGGAAAAGGCAGUGAUGAACAUACUGUACAUGUCUGGGAGUCGUCGCCUACGCUGCUGACACAGAACCUGCCGGAGUUGACGGGUGUCUGAGCAGGAGCAGUGUCUAUCCCUGAAUGGCACACUGGAAGUGUUAAUUCUCUAAGCAUCAGACACAUCCAAAUUUUUCAAGAUGUGUUGAAUUUUGUAUCUUCUGUGCCACAGAUGAGAGAUGAUGGAGUACAGAUAUCCCAAGGCAAGAAGCGUUAGUAAGAAGCAAAAGAACUUACUUCUGUGUCAGGAUCUGCAGCCAGAGGUUUGAGUUCAGUGAACAUAUAUGGUGCUGCUGCUUCUGCUGAUGGGGAUUCCUCAGAAAUCUGCUUGUGGGUACAUCUGCAACUCACAGAAAAAGACUUCAGGGACAUUGUUUGAUCCUGUUCUUUUCAGUGUCAUUAUACUCAUUUGAAAAAAGAAUAUCUGUCAUCGCAGACAUCAGAUCCACUGGCUGCCCAGCAAUAAAUCUUGUGCUCAUGUCAAAA